rnacentral:lncRNA from 1 species
CACUCGCCUAGUUUUUAGUUCGUUUUGUCUGCCACCAGAGGAAGUGGUGAAUGUGUUUCCUGCUCCGUCUCUCCUUUCAAACAGUAACCCAGUGGUGUGAAUGCACUUGCAGUGAGAGAGAGGAGGGGAAAGCAGAGCUCCAGCAAAGGCAGGUCUGGCCAAAUGCGAAUGAAGAAAAUGGCGAUCAUGCAGGACGAAUGCCUCCCUUCAUAGAUGCUGCAAAAGCGUUCAAAAGUCGUUCAGCCUUACAGCCAGCUUUCUAUUCCACUCUGUUGCACUUUAUACUUCAAAGAGAGAUUCGGAAUUGAAAGCUGUUGCCACCAAAGAAACUAAAGCAUCUUGACAGGUGAGUAAGUCACAAUGCACUUCUGUAAUAACUAAUAAAUUAACAAUUGAACAGCUGGUGAUAUUCUGGUGAUAUUCUACAGAGCACUUAAUCUCGGAGUAUGCAAUUAUAGAGUCUGGAAUACAUGUUAUAAAUUGAAGGUCACGGCCAAAAGUCACCAUUUUGUUGGCAUGAGACGAUAACGUUAAUAAUGUAACAUUGGAUAAAACAAUAUUAAACUACUCUAUCAACUGUCAGGUCAGUUUAUAAAUGCAUGUAACACUAAUUCCCAGUAUGAUCGACAUACCGCAGUAAUGUAUGUAAUAUUAUUUUUUUUUAAUUGCUGAAAUUAUUCUUUUUUUUUUUUGCGUCCCGAGUUGAACAUUCAUCCUGCCUGCGGUUAGUAGCACAUGGGUCAGAAGGACAGCACCGGCUGCUUCUGUUUAUGCAAGCACACGCAGUUCCGUUUGAAAUGAAUUGGAGGGUCUGGUCGGGCUUGCGCCGGUUGUGCUGAGUAAGCUGUACUGUUUUAAAAUCACUAAAUGAGACUCUGGUGCCCUAGUGUUUUGUGCGUGGAGAGGUGUUUGUGUAGCACAUUGUGUCCAAUACAGUGGCUCUACAUGCAGAGAGACAAUAGCGCGCUUGAUCGCAACCAACUACAGCGCCCCAGAGUUUUUUCCACUCUCCUCACAUGCUGCACAUGGUAAAGGCUUUAUUAUAGUAACAAGCUUUGACAUUAUACGUCGAUCCCACAUAUGAUGCUGAGGAUAUAAAAUGACGGCGCCGUGGUUUAAAAGUAAAUUAGCA